GAUGCCUGAGGCUGGCCCACAGUGAACAACGACAGGGAGCAGCCAUUAUUGGGUUGAUAAUUAUGACGAUAUUGAGUCUCUGGCAUCCUGUCCACCAGUGGGGAAUACUGGAAUUGACUGGUCUUUUCCUCCCCUCAUUUCCUCAGGGCCUCCCCAAAGCCACACUUAACAGGGCUGUUGGAAGAACUCAGUGAGAUCCACCGAGCAAGCAUGAAUUAAGCCCCACAACGGACCAGGCAUGGCCUUAAGUGCUUUGUGGACCAUCCAGUGGUGAAGAGGUGUGCUUCCCAGGACAAGGGCUCUUGGAAGGAUUAAAUGAAGUAAG